rnacentral:lncRNA from 1 species
CCAUUAUCCUAACAGUGGCACUCUGAACUGUGCUUGAACUCCCAGUGGUGACUGUUCUCAACAACUUGCAGCAAAUUCAAUUUUAAUCAAGGGUAAAAAAAAAAUAAAGAAAAGAAAACCAUGAAGAGGAGGAAAACAAGUAAUGGAAGACUCACUGCUUUUAGAAUGCUGACUGCUUCUUUACUGAGCCAGACUGGAUAUAAGACAUCAUCGUGAAGGAUGGAUUCAAAGAGAUCGUCUUCAUUGUCAGCUUCAAAGGGGGGUUGCCCAGCCAUCAUUUCGUACAUGAGAACACCCAGAGCCCACCAGUCUACUGAAGGGCCAUAUUCUAAUUCCUGGAGGAUCUCUGGAGCUAUAUAGUCAGGUGUACCACAGAAGGUUGUGGUGGUCACUCCAUUCAGAAUCCCUUCUUUG